GAAUUCCUGCCAGGGUUUUUAAGAAGAAAGCAUUGCUUGAAGCUAGCCAUGUCGAAGGAACCCCUUCUGGAAGAGAACCUCAGGAGGAAUCCAAGUAUUCCAGCCAUAUCUACAGCAAUAUUUUCCCGAUGGGUCCAAGAUUAUCCUCAGUCAAUAAGUCAAAACCUGCUCAAGAAAGGAAGCCCAAAGUACGCCAGGGGUCCACUGUUCCAGCCCCAAGGAGAUCAGAGCCACCUGAAUUGCAAUAUGCUGCCAUAGAUUUCAAGCCGAAAAGUAAAGGUGUUCCAGCCUUAAGCAACGAUGAUGUGGAAUAUUCAUCCAUCCAAAGAAAAUAAAGUCCUUGGGAAGAAACAGAAGAGAAAACGGAUUGACGUUUUUCAAACUUCAGUGCUGACUCCUGAAGAUAACCAUGGAUAGCUAAGAAAUAAAUCAGAAACGAAUCAGCCUGUCAUUCAAGCCACAAAGUAAUCAAUCUCAGAUUAUCUAUUUCAGACCCAUUAUAAGAAGGCCCGGCUCUCUGUAGAAGGCUGUAAUGCUGGGAAAGGAGGAAGGAAAGAGAAGAAGAGGAUAACCAGCAGCAAGGGGGAUGGAUUCAGUCAUAGUGGCAAUGGGGCUACUUAAGGACCAAGUUAGGGACAGAAAGUUUAUCUAUGUGGUUGCUAAGAAUUGACACUGACUUGAUACGUAAUUAAUUGAUCAUUCCUAAGAAACACCACAUAUAACGAGGAUAGGGCUACCAGAUCAAAACUGAGAUAAUUGACAUACACCUACAUCCAUACAUAGUGUGCAUAUAUACAUACCACUAAAACAUUUGUGUCUCUUUGUCUAUAUAUUUCCAUUGGGUGAAAUGGUGCAUCGCAGAGCAACAAUUCUGGAACUAAGGUACCUCAAAUGGCCAAACGUACAGAACAGGUCCAAAAUCCAGGACCUAAGAUUCCUGUAGGAUUGAAAUUUGACAAAUUUGUGGCUGCUAACCAAUGCUGUUAACCAAAGGUUCAGUAGACUGGCCUCUUCCGUUAGCUUUGGAAUGGGUCUACUCCCCAUGGCCAAGUCACUGUGACCAAUUUCUCAUGACCAACUCACCACAGAAAAUGCCGUAGCCGUAUCAUUU
rnacentral:lncRNA from 1 species